GUUUACUCAGCUACUUUGUGCUAGAAAGUUCUGUAUUCGAGGCUUUCCCAUGCCCCUCCCUGUAAGUCAGUGAAAGUAGACUAAGAACAAAAGAAAAGGAAAAAAAAAAAAGUUAUCCAUGAGUCAGAUGAGCAGAAUUGCAUUUUGAUGAUGUUACUUGAACUGCAAAUGAUCCAGACUCCAGGUCCGGUCAGUUACCAGCUGUGUUCUCUGAACUUUUCAGCAAAGUUGUGCACUUCUAGCUUGCUGCUGAAGGCCUGUGUUGGCAAUAUUCUGAGAAGCUGGAGGAAUUUCUAUCAGUAAGAACCACACUUCUAACAAAAGUUACAGCUUCCCUGUCAAGAUCCUUGAGGAUAUGAAGGCCUAGAUCUCAGAUGAAUAUCCCUGAAAACUACAUUUCAUUCAUGAAUAGCUCACUCAGGCUCAUCUGGGGAAGAACUGGAAAUCUUCACUGGGACUUUUCUAAGCACUUGCUGACCUGCAUCGUUUCUUGUAAAUCGUGGUGAGAUACACUUGACAUAGAAUUUACCAUCUUGGGACUUCUCUGGUAGUCCAGUGCCUAAGACUCCAAGCUCCCAUUGCAGUGAGUGUGGGUUCAAGCCCUGGGUGAGAACUAGAUCCCACAUGCCACAACUAAGAGUUUGCAUGCCCCAACUAGAGAUCCUGAGUGUUGCAACUGAAAAAAAAAAAAAAAAAGAUCCUGAGUUCUACAGUGAAGAUUGACAGUCCUGCAUGCGGCAACUAAGACCUGGUGCAACCAAAUAAAUAUUUUUAAAAUUU